rnacentral:rRNA from 1 species
GAUGAACGCUAGCGGCAGGCUUAAUACAUGCAAGUCGAGGGGCAGCAUGAAUGUAGCAAUACAUUUGAUGGCGACCGGCAAACGGGUGCGGAACACGUACACAACCUUCCUAUAAGUGGGGAAUAGCCCAGAGAAAUUUGGAUUAAUACCCCGUAACAUAAUGAUGUGGCAUCACAUUAUUAUUAUAGCUACGGCGCUUAUUGAUGGGUGUGCGGCUGAUUAGAUAGUUGGCGGGGUAACGGCCCACCAAGUCUACGAUCAGUAGCUGAUGUGAGAGCAUGAUCAGCCACACGGGAACUGAGACACGGGCCCGACUCCUACGGGAGGCAGCAGUAAGGAAUAUUGGUCAAUGGACGCAAGUCUGAACCAGCCAUGCCGCGUGAAGGAUUAAGGUCCUCUGGAUUGUAAACUUCUUUUAUCUGGGACGAAAAAAGGCUAUUCUUAGUCACUUGACGGUACCAGAUGAAUAAGCACCGGCUAACUCCGUGCCAGCAGCCGCCGUAA